rnacentral:rRNA from 1 species
AGUGGACGCUGGCGGUAGGCCUAACACAUGCAAGUCGAACGGCAGCACAGUAAGAGCUUGCUCUUACGGGUGGCGAGUGGCGGACGGGUGAGGAAUACAUCGGAAUCUACUUUUUCGUGGGGGAUAACGUAGGGAAACUUACGCUAAUACCGCAUACGACCUACGGGUGAAAGCAGGGGAUCUUCGGACCUUGCGCGAUUAAAUGAGCCGAUGUCGGAUUAGCUAGUUGGCGGGGUAAAGGCCCACCAAGGCGACGAUCCGUAGCUGGUCUGAGAGGAUGAUCAGCCACACUGGAACUGAGACACGGUCCAGACUCCUACGGGAGGCAGCAGUGGGGAAUAUUGGACAAUGGGCGCAAGCCUGAUCCAGCCAUACCGCGUGGGUGAAGAAGGCCUUCGGGUUGUAAAGCCCUUUUGUUGGGAAAGAAAAGCAGCAGGUUAAUACCCCGCUGUUCUGACGGUACCCAAAGAAUAAGCACCGGCUAACUUCGUG